rnacentral:rRNA from 1 species
AAUCAACGCUGGCGGCGUGCCUCAGACAUGCAAGUCGAACGCGAAAGUCCCCUUCGGGGACGAAGUAGAGUGGCGCACGGGUGAGUAACACGUAGGUAAUCUACCUUCGGAUGGGGAAGUAACAAUCGGAAACGGUUAGCUAAUACCGCAUAAUGCAGCGGCACCUAAUGGUGACAGUUGUUAAAGCGGGGGAGUCGAAAGACCUCGCGUCUGAAGAGGAGCCUGCGGCGGAUUAGCUAGUUGGUAAGGUAACGGCUUACCAAGGCGACGAUCCGUAGCGGCCUGAGAGGGC